rnacentral:rRNA from 1 species
GCAGUGGGGAAUAUUGCUCAAUGGGCGCAAGCCUGAAGCAGCGACGCCGCGUGAGGGAUGACGGCCUUCGGGUUGUAAACCUCUUUCAGCAGGGACGAAGCGAAAGUGACGGUACCUGCAGAAGAAGCACCGGCCAACUACGUGCCAGCAGCCGCGGUAAUACGUAGGGUGCGAGCGUUGUCCGGAAUUAUUGGGCGUAAAGAGCUCGUAGGCGGUUUGUCGCGUCAAC